rnacentral:tRNA from 1 species
GACCCCAUCGUCUAGCGGUCAGGACACCGCCCUUUCACGGCGGCAGCACGGGUUCGAGUCCCGUUGGGGUCG